rnacentral:miRNA from 1 species
UGAAUGGUAAAGCGAUGUCACA